GCAAGAAGGCAUUCAGUGCGUCAGCGCCAUGCAGGGCUUCCAGAGGGGCUCCUGGUUACUGGCUGCACUGCUGCAGGCACAGAAGGUUCCCCGGGCUGGGGUCACCUCCAAGCCACCUGAGCACCCUGUCUCUCCUGCUGAGCAAGCCAUCGCAAUGACUGUGAUGUUCACAUGUCUGCUGGGACCUGCAGGCUGGGUCCUGGCCAAUGUGAAGCACUACAAGAGCAGAGCAGACUGAGGAGAAGAACUGAGAUCACAGAACAAGUCUUCACGCAGGGAAGAACCCUCUGAGCAUGUUCAUUAAAACUCACGUUGGCAUGAAA